AUUCAGUCUGACAGCGAUAAGACUACUUCUUUUACUGUCUGCUGUCUACGAUUGCUUUAUGAAUCAAAGUUCAGCCCCCAACGGCCAGCCCACACACACACACGGAAGUGACAGCAGGUAUGCAAAUACCACAACAAGGACACGGCAAACAAACAGAAAGCUGGAAAACCAAUAGGGAGCUCAGAGGGACCCUGUCCACUCAAAGCGGAGCUCUGUCCGGCAGCAUGUGUUCGGAAGCUGUUGUUCUGCAGGGAUUAGCAACAUUACUGAUGCAUGUUAGUUACGUCACUAUUCUGCAGGAUUACGGCAGUAUUGCUACUGAUGCUGUGCACAGCACAGGACCGGUAAUGUACGAUUCACCAGCAGCCUCGAGAGAGUACUGGCACCAUGCUUGACCCAGAAAAAGCACUCACACACAGAGCUUAAAAAUAGCCUGGUCACAAUAAUCCAAGCAUACGCAGUGACGCAACAGCAGCACAAGCCCAUGCACAGCGCUCAUCACAAAGCAGCCCCCAAUGUUCCUGCUCCUGUUUCGACAAAGCUGAAGACAGCGAUAGCUACAAGACACUUUGAGUGGGAUUGCCUUUUGUACCUCUUCCUGCUACCGUUUCGCGAUCCUGUGUGGCCGGCAUACACCCUGAGGUGCACAAUGUUACAUCACAAAAAGUGUGAUGAGCCAUCGAAGGUAUUUAAAAUAAAAUAAAAAAAAUAAAAAAAUGCAAUUUUUAGCAGGCAGGAGUGUUAUUGUUCCGAGUGAUUCAUUUUUUCCUUCCUUUUCAAAAGGUGAAUUACACACUAAAAAUCACCGUCAAUACAGAAACGUUCCAGGUAACACGAUGAAUAAUACAACAGGAGCCAUAAGGGUGAUGCCUUUAAUCAUGGCUACAUCUGUCUGACUACAAAAGUCAUUCUCAACAAACAAGUGUGGAGAGCAGCGCACAUCUGGUCACGUCUAACCACUGAUAAGUGACAAACAGAUGAAACCUGCUUACUCCACAGAACACAGACCAGCAUAUCCUUCAGGUCAAUUGCUUUGACAUAAACAUGACAUGUGCCUUUCAUUCUUGGCUUUCCUUGCCACUCCACACUGUCCUUCACUCUCAUAAUGGAAAGUGGCAUGACUUAAUCUGUCCAAAGACAUGAUAUAUGCACAGUAAACAGACAGAUCCCCAGGACAGAGAGCAGCAGCUGGGUCUUGCUGUCAAACACGGAGCACAACACCGAGAGGGCAGUGGUGACUCACUGGAGGCUUUUCCCAAAGGCUGCAAUGGUGGCGCUCCUUUAAAUUUAGCAGUGUUUUAUAGAGCAUCGUGCUGAGGCUGCGCACCAGAGAAGGCGGUAAAUUCCAGGGAUCGGUGGCUCACGUGACUGUUAAAAUACAAGUGGAACAUAUUAGCCUCCCGGCUUGCCUGAAAUACAGCAGAUCGGUUUCACACUGUUGCUCUCGUAUCACAGAGGCAACUUCGGUUAUGGCAACUGCCUCAGCUUGUGACAAGAAUCCUUGAUCGAGUUGAUGGGCUUACCGACCAAUCCAGUUAAAAUGUCAAGAGGCUUAAGACAAAUGUAUUCAUGCUGGGCGGUACACGCACACAAAUGAGGGAGUUUACCAUCCAUCUACGAGCCUAAAGAAGCCUUUGGGCUUAUUUCGAACUCUCACUUCAGUCUCAAACAUACUGAGAUUAUAAGGUGAAGGGUCUAAUGAGGGCAAAGAAGGAAGAGUAUUUAUCAGAUAAACAGUAUUUUUGUGACAAUAUAACGUUAAUUUACAUCCAACAAAACCCACCCCUUUUAGGGACCAAUAAAGAAAUUUAAUGAAACUCUUUAUCCUACCUUAUUAUUGUUUAAGGCUUUUAAAAAAAAAAAAAAAUACUCCAUGAGGCAGAUGCUAGAGUAUUUCUUUACCAAGACUGGGACUGGACAAAGGCCGUGUUUAACCUUGCUUGAUUUUAAUACAGCACUGGAGGAGUGAGCAAACAUUGAGCCUCUCUCUUUAUUGAAAAAGAUUUUUUUUUUUUUUUUUUUUUUUAAAUAUGUGACACCACACAAUGCACAGCUCAACACAAAGGCAGAGCAAGAGCAUUAUGAUGGUUCUUCAGUUAGCAUCAGACUUGUUUUAAACUGAGGCUGACUUAAGAUGAGAAAAUCUGUUUUAUAUGGAAAAAAAACAAAACAAUGUGUGAGUAAUCACCUUUGUAAGCCGUGUUAUAAGCUGACAAAACAGUACAAUCUUGUAAAAAUACAGGGGCUAAAUAAUGGCAUGUCAUGUUGUUCUUAUACAGUAAAUACAACGAGCGCCGUAUGCAUUCUGUAACAUAUCCAUCACUCUUUCCCGUCCCUCAGGUCCAUAAUCUUCCACAAACUAUGGAGGUGGGAACCUGCCCUUGUUCUUUACUCAUCACAGCACAAGGGGAAAGCUAAAAAUACUUGACACCCUGUGAGCAUCUCCUGCAUUGUGUUCCUCCUCCUUCUCCUCGUCCUCUACCUCCUACAGUAGCCCUGCAAGUAUGAUCUGCUUCUAAAAAUGAGCCUGCACAGGGAGGGAAUGAACGAGAGCAAAAAGAAAUCGAGCUCAGGCACAGCCGAACAUAGUGUCGUGAAGCUGAAGUUUGAUUACCAUGGAGAAAGGGAUUUGUUAACCAGAGCAAACAAAUGAAUAAUUUUCUAUUAACUGAGUUUUAGUUUUAGUGCGUACACCCGCUUGGAAGAUAUCUAAAAAAAAAACAAAACAAACAAACAACAAAACAAAACAAAACCAAAAAACAAAACAUCAGUUUAAAGAGUGUCAUAACUGCUCAUUUGAUGUGAAAAGCUCUCCUUGUGUAACAUACAGAAGAAUUAGAUAUUAGAAGAAAGCCACACCUGUUGCAAAGAUAUCUGCCAUUAUUGCAAGAUCUCGAGGUGAACAUGAUUUUAAUCUAAAGCAGAUCAUCUAAUUUAACAGAGGGCAGGAACCACUGGAAUAUAAGUUUUACAUUUGACACCCCCCCCCCCCCCCAGCAUGUAAUUAAAAUUCAAAAAUAAAUAAAUCGGGUGCUUGGUGACCGCUGAGAACUUUAAGCCCCUUUAAUAAUUGGAGCCAUUGUUUUCUUAUGCCUCAGUGGUGCUCGUCAACGCCGCAGUGGUCCAAAAUGGGCCCGUUACAUACCAACACCAUCUCUAACCAACCCCACGCUUCACUCAGAAAUCCAAAAUUAGAUGACCUUAUAUGAAAAUUGCACUUGGAUUAAUCAGUUACGUGCCAAGGUUAAACGAGGAUCUCCCCUUGCUGUCAUUCUCUGAAAGUGCUCAGCGAGCCUAAAUGAGCUGCGUAGAGAGAGUGUGUUAUAUAACUCCAGCAGAUACAGAAAAGGAAAGCGUCGCUACGCUCACAUUUUGCCCAUUCCAUUAACUAAUUCAUGUAGCCCAGCAGACCAAAAGGAAAGGAAAUGCUUUGGUGCAUUUAGACAAUCUCUCCAAAACAUUCUCAUCAGUCACUCUUCGAGUGUUUGGCAGCAACAAGACGCUGAUUCAAAUUAAGGUCUUCUUGCUAAUGUGGAGACUAUUGCAGAGUGCAUGCUUACCAGUGCCACAAAGGCUUGGACGGAUAACAACAAAUGAAUUUCCAUUAUCACUGCCACUCUCUGUCUCUCACAACAGUGAAAAGCAGCUUUGGUUAUGUAGCAUACGACAGCGCUGUGGCUGAGAUUCAUUACUGCGCUAACACCUACACUAUAACUCUAUAAAAGAAUGUGGGCACAUGCAAGUGUAUCGCAACCUGCAGAGAGGAAAGUGAGCGCUUGAUAUGAAGCAUUUAAAAAGGUGCUGAAACAUCUGCAAACUGCAGAAGCAGCAGGGCUACGAGUAAAAUAUUUAUCAGCUGUGACAGACAACAAAGGUCGUGGUCACUGCAAAAGUAUAGAAGCAUAUAAAGCUUAAAGGCAAGUGUAAACAGAAAUCAUUGUGCCUUGCCUGGGGUCUAUUUUUAGUCUCUCAUAUUUAAAAAGAAAAAAAACAACAAAAAAAAAAACA